CUGGGCUUCUCUGGUCCCAAGUUUACUUGGUGCAAUCGUCAAGAUCCAAAUGGCCAUGUCAAAGUUCGCCUAGACAGGGCUAUUGUGAACACUGCUUUUACUGACUGUUUUAAUGGGUGUCACAUGCAAAAUAUCAUUGCUACCUCAUCUGACCAUUAUGCCAUCCGUGUUGGGCUAUCUUGCUUUACGCAGGAAUGUGAACGACGCCCGAUGCAGCAAGGUUUCAAGUUUGAGGCCAUGUGGCUGCGCGCCACCGAUUACAAGGAAACUAUGGAGAAAGCUUGGGCUGAUGGUAGAAAUGGUGAGAUUACUCUUCAGUCCACAUGGGAUAAUCUACACAAAGUGGAGGCAUCUUUGAAAACCUGGAGCCGUGAUUGUUUUGGGUCUGUUCGUAAACAAAAUUUUAAACUAGAAAGACGUUCGUGGUCAAUUCGGGCUGCCCCAAUCACAGCUGCAAGUGUAACUGAGGAACAUGCUUUAGAGAAACAUUUAUGUGAGCUUUUUGAACGGGAAGAAAUAAUGGAGCGUCAACGCUCUAGGAUUGACAGGCUCAAGGAAGGUGACCGUAAUACCUUUUUCCAAGCACGUGCCAAGGCUCGUAGGCGCAUCAAUAGAAUUCAUUCUCUUCAGCGAGAUGAUGGAUCAAUAUGUGAGUCAGAAGAUGGGAUAAAAAAUAUGGUGCAACAAUUUUAUGAUGAGCUUUUUACUUCUCAACCUUGUGAUACUUCUGCAGUUCUUGAUGCUAUUUCUCCUAAAGUUUCUCCAGAAAUGAAUGAUGAUUUGUGUAAACCCUAUUCUAAUGAGGAGAUCAAGACUGCUUUAUUCCAGAUGGGGCCUACCAAGGCGCCGGGACCGGAUGAUUUUCCGGCAUUGUUUUACUAG
rnacentral:rRNA from 1 species